AUUAGAGUUUGAUCAUGGCUCAGGACGAACGCUGGCGGCGUGCUUAACACAUGCAAGUCGAGCGGGACCUUCGGGUCUAGCGGCGGACGGGUGAGUAUCGCGUGGGAACGUACCCUUUUCUACGGAAUAGCCUCGGGAAACUGAGAGUAAUACCGUAUACGCCCUUUUGGGGAAAGAUUUAUCGGAGAAGGAUCGGCCCGCGUUGGAUUAGGUAGUUGGUGGGGUAAUGGCCUACCAAGCCGACGAUCCAUAGCUGGUUUGAGAGGAUGAUCAGCCACACUGGGACUGAGACACGGCCCAGACUCCUACGGGAGGCAGCAGUGGGGAAUCUUAGACAAUGGGGGCAACCCUGAUCUAGCCAUGCCGCGUGAGUGAUGAAGGCCUUAGGGUUGUAAAGCUCUUUCAGCUGGGAAGAUAAUGACGGUACCAGCAGAAGAAGCCCCGGCUAACUCCGUGCCAGCAGCCGCGGUAAUAAU
rnacentral:rRNA from 1 species